rnacentral:lncRNA from 1 species
CUUGAGGCUGUAAAAAUUCAGGUAGCCUAUUACCAUUGCAUUCUAUGUCAGUGAUAAUUCUUCAGGCACCACGAAAUAUGUAAAUGAGACCCCCCUGAAAUUGCACAAUACUGUGAUCCCUGGAUGUGGGAACCAAGCACAUGAAACCUUUUUCUAGAGAAAUUGAUCCUCAUCUCUCCAAUUACUGUUCAGCUGAUAAACUGUCCUUCUUUUGAUUACAGUCCUGCUUUUCCACAGGAACAGGAGUCUGGGAACAAGGAAAACAGUCCUGGAAGCAGAACAAGAGUAUGGGAUCACUCAUGGACAGUGCUAUUUGGACAGGUCACUUCCUAGAUGUGCUGAGUGUGCAAAUUCUGUCUCGUCUCAUCCAGUGUUUCUCUGAAUGGAAGCAAGUAUCUGGGCACCAGCCACCACUCCACUCAGCUCUUAAGCAGCUUUGACCUUGAAGACAUGGAUAUGGAUGAGAACAAGGAUCCACUUGGCACCUUUGGCCACUUUUGCUUCAGUGAACUGAGUGGGGUGUCUGAGAAGAAACCCUGGUGUUAGGAAGACGUCUGAGAAUGUUCCAAUGAUCCCCGCCUCCUGAUAUUCACACCUUUGGGUAAUUACCCCUCCCCUUGAGAGUAGGCUGGACUUAGUGAUUUGCUUCUGACUAAUAGAAUAAGGGAAAGGUGAUGGGAUGUCAUUUCCAUUAUUAGUUUACAAAAGAUUGUGACUUCUGUCUUGCUGUCAGACUCUCUCCUGGCUUUGGUGAAGCAAGCUUCCGUGUUGGAGAGGCCCACAGGACAAGGAACUGAGGGUUGCCUCCAGCCAACUCCAGCCCACAGCCACCAGGAAUUGAGGAUCUCAGUCCAACAGGCCUUGAGGAGCUGCAUCCUGCCAACAGCUAUAUAAGCAAGCUCAGAACUAUGUCCUUCUCCAGUUGAGCCUUCAGAUGAGACCCCAGCCCCAGCUGAUACCUUAAUUGCAGCCUUGUGAGAGACCCUGGAGCAGGGAACCCAGGUAAGCCUUGCCUGGACUCCUGACCCAGAAAAA